rnacentral:rRNA from 1 species
AGAGUUUGAUCCUGGCUCAGGAUGAACGCUAGCGGGAGGCUUAACACAUGCAAGUCGAGGGGCAGCAUUACUUUCGGGUAGAUGGCGACCGGCGCACGGGUGAGUAACGCGUAUGCAACCUACCUUUUACAGAGGGAUAGCCCAGAGAAAUUUGGAUUAAUACCUCAUAGUACUAUUUUUUCGCAUGAUAAGAUAGUUAAAGUUUCGGCGGUAAAAGAUGGGCAUGCGUGACAUUAGAUUGUUGGCGGGGUAACGGCCCACCAAGUCUGCGAUGUCUAGGGGUUCUGAGAGGAUGAUCCCCCACACUGGUACUGAGACACGGACCAGACUCCUACGGGAGGCAGCAGUGAGGAAUAUUGGUCAAUGGACGCAAGUCUGAACCAGCCAUCCCGCGUGAAGGAUGACGGUCCUAUGGAUUGUAAACUUCUUUUAUGUACCAAGAAUGUGCCUUACGUGUAAGGUUUUGACGGUAGUACGUGAAUAAGCAUCGGCUAACUCCGUGCCAGCAGCCGCGGUAAUACGGAGGAUGCGAGCGUUAUCCGGAUUCAUUGGGUUUAAAGGGUGCGUAGGCGGCUUAUUAAGUCAGUGGUGAAAUCCUGCGGCUCAACCGUAGAACUGCCAUUGAAACUGAUAAGCUUGAAUAUAGUUGAGGUAGGCGGAAUGAGUAGUGUAGCGGUGAAAUGCUUAGAGAUUACUCAGAACACCGAUUGCGAAGGCAGCUUACUAAACUAUUAUUGACGCUGAGGCACGAAAGCGUGGGGAGCGAACAGGAUUAGAUACCGUGGUAGUCCCCGUAAACGAUGUUCACUCGCUGCUUGCGAUACAUAGUAAGUGGCCAAGCGAAAGCAUUAAGUGAACCACCUGGGGAGUACGUCGGCAACGGUGAAACUCAAAGGAAUUGACGGGGGCCCGCACAAGCGGAGGAACAUGUGGUUUAAUUCGAUGAUACGCGAGGAACCUUACCUGGGCUUAAAUGUAGAUUGCAUGUGGUGGAAACACCCUUCCCUUCGGGGCUAUCUACAAGGUGCUGCAUGGUUGUCGUCAGCUCGUGCCGUGAGGUGUCGGGUUAAGUCCCAUAACGAGCGCAACCCCUAUCGUUAGUUGCCAUCAGGUUAAGCUGGGGACUCUAACGAGACUGCCACCGUAAGGUGAGAGGAAGGUGGGGAUGACGUCAAAUCAGCACGGCCCUUAUGUCCAGGGCUACACACGUGUUACAAUGGCAGGUACAAAGGGCAGCUACACCGUGAGGUGAUGCUAAUCUCUAAAGCCUGUCUCAGUUCGGAUCGGAGUCUGCAACUCGACUCCGUGAAGUUGGAUUCGCUAGUAAUCGCGUAUCAGCAAUGACGCGGUGAAUACGUUCCCGGGCCUUGUACACACCGCCCGUCAAACCAUGGAAGCUGGGGGGACCUGAAGUCUGUCACCGUAAGGAGCGGCCUAGGGUAAAACCGGUAACUGGGGUUAAGUCGUGACAAGGUA